GUAAGUUUUCCUCUUCAGUAGAGUAUUUGAAGAUAUUUAAGACUAUUGGAAUGGUUUGCAAGUGUUGUGAUGGUGUAGAUUCUACAGAAGGAAGAAAGCAAGAUUUGUGUUAUUUUACUUGGGAUGGUUCUUGCUCCAAUCUUCAGUGCUUUCCUUGGAAAUUCAAAUGAUGCUCUGAUUUAGUUUGAUAUAAUUUGUGUACAAGAGGCUUGUUGCUUUGUAUAUAUACUAUUCAUAGAGAUCAAUAUUCAUUAGCCAC
rnacentral:lncRNA from 1 species